rnacentral:rRNA from 1 species
GAAUUCGCCCUUAGAGUUUGCUUCUGGCUCAGGACGAACGCUGGCGGCGCGCCUAACACAUGCAAGUCGAACGAGCGAGAGAGAGCUUGCUUUCUCGAGCGAGUGGCGAACGGGUGAGUAACGCGUGAGGAACCUGCCUCAAAGAGGGGGACAACAGUUGGAAACGACUGCUAAUACCGCAUAAGCCCACGGGUCGGCAUCGACCAGAGGGAAAAGGAGCAAUCCGCUUUGAGAUGGCCUCGCGUCCGAUUAGCUAGUUGGUGAGGUAACGGCCCACCAAGGCGACGAUCGGUAGCCGGACUGAGAGGUUGAACGGCCACAUUGGGACUGAGACACGGCCCAGACUCCUACGGGAGGCAGCAGUGGGGAAUAUUGCACAAUGGGGGAAACCCUGAUGCAGCGACGCCGCGUGGAGGAAGAAGGUCUUCGGAUUGUAAACUCCUGUUGUUGAGGAAGAUAAUGACGGUACUCAACAAGGAAGUGACGGCUAACUACGUGCCAGCAGCCGCGGUAAAACGUAGGUCACAAGCGUUGUCCGGAAUUACUGGGUGUAAAGGGAGCCCAGGCGGGAAGACAAGUUGGAAGUGAAAUCCAUGGGCUCAACCCAUGAACUGCUUUCAAAACUGUUUUUCUUGAGUAGUGCAGAGGUAGGCGGAAUUCCCGGUGUAGCGGUGGAAUGCGUAGAUAUCGGGAGGAACACCAGUGGCGAAGGCGGCCUACUGGGCACCAACUGACGCUGAGGCUCGAAAGUGUGGGUAGCAAACAGGAUUAGAUACCCUGGUAGUCCACACCGUAAACGAUGAUUAC